UACCUGGUUGAUCCUGCCAGUAGUCAUAUGCUUGUCUCAAAGAUUAAGCCAUGCAUGUCUAAGUACAUGCCGUAUUAAGGCGAAACCGCGAAUGGCUCAUUAAAUCAGUUAUGGUUCCUUGGAUCGUACCUUACUACUUGGAUAACUGUGGCAAUUCUAGAGCUAAUACAUGCAGCAGAGCUCCGACCCUCUGGGGACGAGCGCUUUUAUUAGACCAAAACCAAUCGGACCUCGUGUCCGUAUCAUGUGGUGACUCUGUAUAACUUUGGGCUGAUCGCACGGGCUCGUCCCGGCGACGUAUCUUUCAAGUGUCUGCCUUAUCAACUGUCGAUGGUAGGUUACGCGCCUACCAUGGUCGUAACGGGUGACGGGGAAUCAGGGUUCGAUUCCGGAGAGGGAGCCUGAGAAACGGCUACCACAUCCAAGGAAGGCAGCAGGCGCGCAAAUUACCCACUCCCAGAACGGGGAGGUAGUGACGAAAAAUAACAAUACGGGACUCUUUUGAGACCCCGUAAUUGGAAUGAGUACACUCUAAAUCCUUUAACGAGGAUCAAUUGGAGGGCAAGUCUGGUGCCAGCAGCCGCGGUAAUUCCAGCUCCAAUAGCGUAUAUUAAAGUUGUUGCGGUUAAAAAGCUCGUAGUUGGAUCUCAGUUCCAGACGGGUGGUCCGCCUACCGGUGGUUACUGCCUGUUCUGAACAGCCAGCCGGUUUCCUUUGAUGAUCUUCACCGGUUGUCUUGGGUGACCGGCAAGUUUACUUUGAAAAAAUUAGAGUGCUCAAAGCAGGCGUGACGCCUGAAUAAUGGUGCAUGGAAUAAUGGAAUAGGACCUCGGUUCUAUUUUGUUGGUUUUCGGAAUACGAGGUAAUGAUUAAGAGGGACAGACGGGGGCAUUCGUAUUGCGACGCUAGAGGUGAAAUUCUUGGACCGUCGCAAGACGAACUACUGCGAAAGCAUUUGCCAAGAAUGUUUCCAUUAAUCAAGAACGAAAGUUAGAGGUUCGAAGGCGAUCAGAUACCGCCCUAGUUCUAACCAUAAACGAUGCCAGCCAGCGAUCCGGCUGUGUUCCUCAAAUGACACGCCGGGCAGCUUCCGGGAUCCUCAAAUGACACGCCGGGCUUCCGGGUUCCGGGAAACCAAAGCUUUUGGGUUCCGGGGGAAGUAUGGUUGCAAAGCUGAAACUUAAAGGAAUUGACGGAAGGGCACCACCAGGAAUGGAGCCUGCGGCUUAAUUUGACUCAACACGGGAAAACUUACCCGGCCCGGACACAGGAAGGAUUGACAGAUUAAGAGCUCUUUCUUGAUUCUGUGGGUGGUGGUGCAUGGCCGUUCUUAGUUGGUGGAGCGAUUUGUCUGGUUAAUUCCGAUAACGAACGAGACUCUAGCCUACUAAAUAGACGCUCCGAUCCUUCGAGUCGGACGUUCUUCUUAGAGGGACAAGCGGCGUUUAGCCGCACGAGACAGAGCAAUAACAGGUCUGUGAUGCCCUUAGAUGUCCGGGGCCGCACGCGCGCUACAUUGAAGGAAUCAGCGUGUGCUUUCCCUGUCCGACAGGACUGGGUAACCCGUUGAACCUCCUUCGUGCUGGGGAUAGGGGCUUGUAAUUGUUCCCCUUGAACGAGGAAUUCCCAGUAAGCACGAGUCAUAAGCUCGUGUUGAUUACGUCCCUGCCCUUUGUACACACCGCCCGUCGCUACUACCGAUUGAAUGAUUUAGUGAGGUCUUCGGACUGGCUCUCGAAGCGGCUUUCGGGUCGCGUCGGCGUGCCGGAAAGAUGACCAAACUUGAUCAUUUAGAGGAAGUAAAAGUCGUAACAAGGUUUCCGUAGGUGAACCUGCGGAAGGAUCAUUA
rnacentral:rRNA from 1 species